GACGAACGCUGGCGGCGUGCCUAAUACAUGCAAGUCGAACGCUUCUUUCCUCCCGAGGGCUUGCACUCAAUUGGAAAGAGGGGGGGCGGACGGGGGAGUAACACGUGGGUAACCUACCCCUCAGAGGGGGAUAACACUUGGAAACAGGUGCUAAUACCGCAUAACAGUUUAUGCCGCAUGGCAUAAGAGUGAAAGGCGCCUUCGGGGGUCGCUGAUGGAUGGACCCGCGGUGCAUUAGCUAGUUGGUGAGGUAACGGCUCACCAAGGCCACGAUGCAUAGCCGACCUGAGAGGGUGAUCGGCCACACUGGGACUGAGACACGGCCCAGACUCCUACGGGAGGCAGCAGUAGGGAAUCUUCGGCAAUGGACGAAAGUCUGACCGAGCAACGCCGCGUGAGUGAAGAAGGUUUUCGGAUCGUAAAACUCUGUUGUUAGAGAAGAACAAGGACGUUAGUAACUGAACGUCCCCUGACGGUAUCUAACCAGAAAGCCACGGCUAACUACGUG
rnacentral:rRNA from 1 species